GAUGAACGCUGGCGGCGUGCCUAAUACAUGCAAGUCGAGCGAACAGAUGAGGAGCUUGCUCCUCUGACGUUAGCGGCGGACGGGUGAGUAACACGUGGAUAACCUACCUAUAAGACUGGGAUAACUUCGGGAAACCGGAGCUAAUACCGGAUAAUAUAUUGAACCGCAUGGUUCAAUAGUGAAAGACGGUUUUGCUGUCACUUGUAGAUGGAUCCGCGCCGCAUUAGCUAGUUGGUAAGGUAAAGGCUUACCAAGGCAACGAUGCGUAGCCGACCUGAGAGGGUGAUCGGCCACACUGGAACUGAGACACGGUCCAGACUCCUACGGGAGGCAGCAGUAGGGAAUCUUCCGCAAUGGGCGAAAGCCUGACGGAGCAACGCCGCGUGAGUGAUGAAGGUCUUCGGAUCGUAAAACUCUGUUAUUAGGGAAGAACAAAUGUGUAAGUAACUAUGCACGUCUUGACGGUACCUAAUCAGAAAGCCACGGCUAACUACGUG
rnacentral:rRNA from 1 species